AACGAACGCUGGCGGCAGGCCUAACACAUGCAAGUCGAGCGCGUGUAGCAAUACACGAGCGGCGUACGGGUGAGUAUAACGUGGGAACCUGCCCUUCGGUACGGAACAACCCAGGGAAACUUGGGCUAAUACCGUAUGUGUUCUCCGGGUGUGGUGCUCGGGGAAGAAAGAUUUAUCGCCGAAGGAGGGGCCCACGCCGGAUUAGGUAGUUGGUGGGGUAAUGGCCUACCAAGCCUACGAUCCGUAGCUGGCUGAGAGGAUGAUCAGCCACACUGGGACUGAGACACGGCCCAGACUCCUACGGGAGGCAGCAGUGGGGAAUAUUGGACAAUGGGGGCAACCCUGAUCCAGCCAUGCCGCGUGAGUGAUGAAGGCCUUCGGUUGUAAG
rnacentral:rRNA from 1 species